rnacentral:rRNA from 1 species
AUUCAGGAGAGUUUGAUCCUGGCUCAGGAUAAACGCUUGGCGGCGCACAUAAGAACAUGCAAGUCGAACGGAAGUCGUUGUAAUGAUGUGGACAUGAACAGAGAACUUGUUCAAAGGGAGUGAAAAUUGACUUACAACAAUGGCUUUAGUGGCGGACUGGUGAGUAAUACGUAAGCAACCUGCCUAUUAGAGGGGAACAACAGUUAGAAAUGACUGCUAAUACCGCAUAUGCCAUAGUAACCACAUGGUUACAGUGGGAAAGGAGCAAUCCGCUAAUAGAUGGGCUUACGGCUGAUUAGCUAGUUGGUGGGGUAAAGGCCUACCAAGGCGACGAUCAGUAGCCGGACUGAGAGGUUAAACGGCCACAUUGGGACUGAGAUACGGCCCAGACUCCUACGGGAGGCAGCAGUCGGGAAUUUUGCGCAAUGGAGGAAACUCUGACGCAGUGACGCCGCGUGCAGGAAGAAGGUUUUCGGAUUGUAAACUGCUUUAGACAGGGAAGAAAAAGGACAGUACCUGUAGAAUAAGCUCCGGCUAACUACGUGCCAGCAGCCGCGGUAAUACGUAGGGAGCAAGCGUUAUCCGGAUUUAUUGGGUGUAAAGGGUGCGUAGACGGGAUAGUAAGUUAGCUGUGAAAUCCCUCUGCUUAACAGAGGAACUGCAACUAAAACUGUUAUUCUUGAGUACUGGAGAGGAAAGUGGAAUUCCUAGUGUAGCGGUGAAAUGCGUAGAUAUUAGGAGGAACACCAGUGGCGAAGGCGACUUUCUGGACAGAAACUGACGUUGAGGCACGAAAGUGUGGGGAGCAAACAGGAUUAGAUACCCUGGUAGUCCCCU